AGAUUAAGCCAUGCAUGUGUCAGUACAAACUGAACCAAAAGUGAAACCGCAAAUGGCUCAUUAAAUCAGCUAUGAUUCAUUGGAUCUGUACACCCAGUUUUCCUUGGAUAACUGUGGUAAUUCUAGAGCUAAUACAUGCACAUAUAGUCCUUAACCUAACGGGAAGGGCGCUUUUAUUAGUAUCAAAACCGGUCUGGCUUCGGUCUGUAAAACCAGUUGUGAUGACUCUGGAUAAUUUUAGCUGAGCGCACGGUCUUUGCACUGGCGCCGCUUCUUUCAAGUGUCUGCCUUAUCAGCUUUCGAUUGUAGGUUAUGUGCCUACAAUGGCUAUAACGGGUAACGGGGAAUCAGGGUUCGAUUCCGGAGAGGGAGCCUGAGAAACGGCUACCACAUCCAAGGAAGGCAGCAGGCACGCAAAUUACCCACUCCCAGCCUGGGGAGGUAGUGACGAAAAAUAACGAUGCGAGACUCAUCCGAGGCCUCGCAAUCGGAAUGAGUACACUUUAAAUCCUUUAACGAGGAUCAAUUGGAGGGCAAGUCUGGUGCCAGCAGCCGCGGUAAUUCCAGCUCCAAUGGCGUAUAUUAAAGUUGUUGCGGUUAAAAAGCUCGUAGUUGGAUUCCAGGAUUGGACUGAAGGUUCGCCGUAAGGUGUAUAAAACCUMUCAGAAUCCGAAAACAGCUAUCACAACAACUUUGUGUAUGCCCACACUAGCACACACGGGGUGUUCUUAAUUGAGUGCCCCGCGUGGCUGGUAUGUUUACUUUGAAAAAAUUAGAGUGCUUAAAGCAGGCCAACUGAAUGGCCUGAAUGUCUAUGCAUGGAAUAAUAUAAAAGGACCUCGGUUCUAUUUUAUCCGGGCUUUUUGUGGAACCCGAGGUAAUGAAUAAUGGAGAUGAAUGGGGGCAUUAGUACUGCGACGCUAGAGGUGAAAUUCU
rnacentral:rRNA from 1 species